GAUGAAGAACGCAGCGAAAUGCGAUAAGUAAUGUGAAUUGUAGAAUUCAGUGAAUCAUCGAAUCUUUGAACGCACAUUGCGCCCCCUGGUAUUCCGGGGGGCAUGCCUGUUCGAGCGUCAUUUCACCACUCAAGCCUCGCUUGGUAUUGGGCAACGCGGUCCGCCGCGUGCCUCAAAUCGUCCGGCUGGGUCUUCUGUCCCCUAAGCGUUGUGGAAACUAUUCGCUAAAGGGUGUUCGGGAGGCUACGCCGUAAAACAACCCCAUUUCUAAGGUUGACCUCGGAUCAGGUAGGGAUACCCGCUGAACUUAAGCAUAUCAAUAAGCGGAGGA
rnacentral:misc_RNA from 1 species